UUUUAGCCCUGAUUACAGCGACAUCCUUUAUCCCGAUUCUUUUAGGGAUAAAGAUAUAGCGGAAAGCAGGAAUAGCU
rnacentral:sRNA from 1 species